rnacentral:rRNA from 1 species
GAACGAGAAAGGGUAGCAAUACCUGAGUAAAGUGGCGCACGGGUGAGUAACACGUGACUAACCUACCCUGGAGUGGGGGAUAACUGAGGGAAACCUUAGCUAAUACCGCAUAAUACCUACGGGUCAAAGGAGCAAUUCGCUUUGGGAGGGGGUCGCGGCCGAUUAGUUAGUUGGCGGGGUAAUGGCCCACCAAGACAGUGAUCGGUAUCCGGCCUGAGAGGGCGCACGGACACACUGGAACUGAAACACGGUCCAGACUCCUACGGGAGGCAGCAGUGGGGAAUUUUGCGCAAUGGGGGAAACCCUGACGCAGCAACGCCGCGUGGAGGAUGAAGUACUUCGGUACGUAAACUCCUUUCGAUCGGGACGAUAAUGACGGUACCGGAAGAAGAAGCCCCGGCUAACUUCGUGCCAGCAGCCGCGGUAAUACGAGGGGGGCAAGCGUUGUUCGGAAUUAUUGGGCGUAAAGGGUGCGUAGGCGGUUUGGUAAGUCUUGUGUGAAAUCUCCGGGCUCAACUCGGAGUCUGCACAGGAAACUGCCGGGCUUGAGUAUGGGAGAGGUGA